UACGGGGGGAGCAAGCGUUGUUCGGAUUUACUGGGCGUAAAGGGCGCGUAGGCGGCCACCGCAAGUCAGUUGUGAAAUCUCUGGGCUUAACCCAGAAAGGUCAACUGAUACUGCGGGGCUAGAGUGCAGAAGGGGCAACUGGAAUUCUCGGUGUAGCGGUGAAAUGCGUAGAUAUCGAGAGGAACACCUGCGGCGAAGGCGGGUUGCUGGGCUGACACUGACGCUGAGGCGCGAAGCUAGGGAGCGAACGGG
rnacentral:rRNA from 1 species